AGCGAACGCUGGCGGCAGGCCUAACACAUGCAAGUCGAGCGGGCGUAGCAAUACGUCAGCGGCAGACGGGAGAGUAACACGUGGGAACGUGCCCUUUGGUUCGGAAUAACUCAGGGAAACUUGAGCUAAUACCGGAUAAGCCCUCCGGGGGAAAGAUUUAUUGCCAUUGGAGCGGCCCGCGUCGGAUUAGCUAGUUGGUGAGGUAAUGGCUCACCAAGGCGACGAUCCGUAGCUGGUCUGAGAGGAUGACCAGCCUCACUGGGACUGAGACACGGCCCAGACUCCUACGGGAGGCAGCAGUGGGGAAUAUUGGACAAUGGGCGCAAGCCUGAUCCAGCCAUGCCGCGUGGAUGAUGAAGGCCCUAGGGUUGUAAAGUCCUUUUAACGGGGAAGAUAAUGACGGUACCCGUAGAAUAAGCCCCGGCUAACUUCGUGCCAGCAGCCGCCGCAG
rnacentral:rRNA from 1 species